UACGGAGGAGGCAAGCGUUAUCCGGAAUUAUUGGGCGUAAAGCGUCCGUAGGUGGCUCUCUCAAGUCUGCGGUCAAAGACCGGGGCUCAACCCUGGAAAGGCCGUGGAAACUGGUGAGCUAGAGUGCGGUAGGGGGCAGAGGGAAUUCCCAGUGUAGCGGUGAAAUGCGUAGAUAUCAAGAGGAACACCUGAGGUGAAGACGGGUUGCUGGGCUGACACUGACGCUGAGGCGCGAAAGCUAGGGUAGCAAACGGG
rnacentral:rRNA from 1 species